rnacentral:lncRNA from 1 species
CAAGGGUAUUUUGGUGGAGACUCCUGAGUACUUGAAGCCUUCUGAAGUGUCAAGCUACACAGAAGAGACUAUCAGAAGGAUGCAGUUUUAAAGAGCUAAUUGAUAAGCAAAACAAAACAAAAGAUUUUUCUUACAUCAGGAAAGCACGUGAAGUCAUCCAAUUUUACUGAAGCAUGCUACUUUGGAAAAGAAGCAAUUCUUCUGCUGAGAGAAGCUGAAGAUUAGUUUAAAGUCUACAAAGGUCAUCAUCAAUGGAGAGAUCUCAUCUCUAAUUUUCUGACUACACCUUCAGAAGAGUAGGCCAGUAAAGCACCUUACUCACAGAAGUCGUUUG